rnacentral:tRNA from 1 species
GCGCUCGUAGCUCAGCGGUAGAGCACUACUCUUAUAAAGUAGGAGUCCUUGGUUCGAAUCCAAGCGAGCGCA